rnacentral:rRNA from 1 species
GACGAACGCUGGCGGCGUGCCUAAUACAUGCAAGUUGAGCGAUGAAGAUUGGUGCUUGCACCAAUUUGAAGAGCAGCGAACGGGUGAGUAACGCGUGGGGAAUCUGCCUUUGAGCGGGGGACAACAUUUGGAAACGAAUGCUAAUACCGCAUAAUAACUUUAAACAUAAGUUUUAAGUUUGAAAGAUGCAAUUGCAUCACUCAAAGAUGAUCCCGCGUUGUAUUAGCUAGUUGGUGAGGUAAAGGCUCACCAAGGCGAUGAUACAUAGCCGACCUGAGAGGGGGAUCGGGCACCUUGGGACUGAGACACGGCCCAAACUCCUACGGGAGGCAGCAGUAGGGAAUCUUCGGCAAUGGACGAAAGUCUGACCGGGCAACGCCGCGGGAGUGAAGAAGGUUUUCGGAUCGUAAAACUCUGUUGGUAGAGAAGAACGUUGGUGGGAGUGGAAAGCUCAUCAAGUGACGGUAACUACCCAGAAAGGGACGGCUAACUACGUG